AGUGAACGCUGGCGGUAGGCCUAACACAUGCAAGUCGAACGGCAGCACAGUAAGAGCUUGCUCUUCCGGGUGGCGAGUGGCGGACGGGUGAGGAAUACAUCGGAAUCUACUUUUUCGUGGGGGAUCACGUAGGGAAACUUACGCUAAUACCGCAUACGACCUACGGGUGAAAGCAGUGGAACUUCGGACCUUGCGCGAUUGAAUGAGCCGAUGUCGGAUUAGCUAGUUGGCGGGGUAAAGGCCCACCAAGGCGACGAUCCGUAGCCGGUCUGAGAGGAUGAUCGGCCACCCUGGAACUGAGACACGGUCCAGACGCCUACGGGAGGCAGCAGUGGGGAAUAUUGGACAAUGGGCGCAAGCCUGAUCCAGCCAUACCGCGUGGGUGAAGAAGGCCUUCGGGUUGUAAAGCCCUUUUGUUGGGAAAGAAAAGCAGCAGGUUAAUACCCCGCUGUCCUGACGGUACCCAAAGAAUAAGCACCGGCUAACUUCGUG
rnacentral:rRNA from 1 species